GCGUCGGUAAUGCAGCGGUUCAGCACACACUUCCGGAAAGAGUGAGAUCUGGGUUUAAAUCCCAGUUGAUGAA